AUGAGGAAGGAAUUUGUCUCAGUCCACUUCCACACCUGUCCACCUGAGCUGGGCGUUAGCCUGAGCCUUUGCCUCUGUAUGGAUCCCUACAUUAAAUACCCAGCUCCUCUGCGCGAUUACAGCAGCCUCCGGAGCUCUCCCAAAUUGUCACCUAGGAUGAAUAUGACAGCAAACAAUGCUUUAAAAGUGACUUUGAGUUUUAUGCAAUUUCUUGUAUAAAAGGAGAGCCUGAGUCCAUGGAAGUUGGGAUUGAACAUCCUGAAUAUGCAGUUCCUUGGAGAGCCACCAAGAAAAGACCUAAGCAAGAGACAUGAUGUCACCUUCGGGGAGGAGGCUCUUCAAGCUGUUUGGCAUGAGAAGAGGAGGAAUGAGGAGGAUCACUGGCCUUGAACCCCCAAAGAGAGGCUAGAGCACCUUUCUAGGACCCAGUCCAGGGUUUGUCUUGAACAUCCAGCUCCAAAAGAGAUGCUGUGCAGAUUCAAGCUGCCAAGUCCUGAAGGACCUGAGGGAAAACCCAACCCCAAGCAGCCCAGAUGGUAUCUGAGUAUCCUGUGCCCUACCCACGAAGAUCAGGAGCCUAAAGGCUAGAGCUCACUGCAGAACCAGACCAAAGACAGUUUAAGGGCCAUUGAGCCAAGCCUUCCUGACCUCCCAUGGAGAGGGGAAGAGAGAACAGGACCUCCACUUAUCCACCUACCCGCUGCUGAGUCCCUUUAGCCCUUGGCAUGGUAAUUAACGGUCAGGAAGUUAUGCAUCAGCCUCAGCAAGCUAACAUGGCAGGAGAUCCCUCCUGACAGCAGAGCUAAUAAGAAAUUUGCUAAUGCAAUUUAUCACUUUAAAAAGCCAUAUGUCGGUGGGGAUGAGCACUUCUCUGCAGCAGCUAGUGUAAUUGUCAGAACAGAGCAGCGAGCAGCUCUGAGAAGGGGGUGAGGAUGAUGUCUUCACUAAAUCAGUGGUGCAAUGCAGCAGGCGAGGGGGCUGGGAGGAGGGGUGUGGUGCUGGGUGGAGGGCUCCCAGCUCUCAAACUCCCAGGAAGCCAGUGCUGCAGACCUGUUCUGGGGCCCCAUUAAAAACCAGAUUCCCUGAACUCCAGCCCCUGCUGCCUUUGAGCUGCAUGAACCUGCGCUUUGGUUCCUGCCACAGUGUUAAAAAAGAAGCGACUCUGUCUGCAGUAAUGGCUGAUCUAAGUCUCAGCCAUUGAGUGUCAACACACAGGACCCCACUCCAGCUCCUCCUGGGGGCAGGGCUGAUGCCAUGUGCACAUUUGGUCUUUCUCUCCCAGACCCCUGCGAUAACUUCAUCCAGGACAAGGGCCACUGGUCCUUAGUCAGAGGCAGGGAAAGAUUAGAAAUCCACCUCAGGCCCAACAACAUCUCUGCUUUCAGUUUAGACAAAAGGCAAAUUGCUUUGAGUACCCAGUGUUUGCCAAAAUAAAGAGUGGUUUCUGCAAAGGGGAAAAACUGCUGUUGUGGGAUUUUGCUUCAAACACUCAAUUGCAAACCAUUUUUCCCAAAGCAAAUUGAUAGAGAAGCAAGUAAAACAGGUGCCCCUUCUGGGAAUGAAGUCCAGGGCUGCUGGGAAGGCUGUGGGAAGGAAUAAGAAUAUCCACACGGCUGGAUCUCCACUGCUUUCUGGAAUAGUCCCCACUCUCAGUUAUCUGUGGAAUGAGAGGGGCUGGGGAGAGGGAUGAGGUAGGGCAAGCCACCACCACCAACACCCAGAGAAACAUCACACUCAGUUUCCACCAACUAAACUUCCCUCUAAAGCAAAUUUUGACCCUAAUUGUUCUCUGUCCUUUAAAUUAAUGCUUUUUUUUUUUAAGACGGAGUUUCACUCCUG
rnacentral:lncRNA from 1 species